rnacentral:snRNA from 1 species
AUACUUACCUGGCAGGGGAGAUACCAUGAUCAUGAAAGUGGUUUUUCCAGGGUGAGGCUCAUCCAUUGCAAUUCAGGUGUGCUGAUCCCUGUGAUUUCCCCAAAUGUGGGGAAAAUCAACUGCCUAAUUUGUGAUAGUGGGGGACUGUGUUUGUGGUUUCCCCUG